AUUGAACGCUGGCGGCAUGCCUUACACAUGCAAGUCGAACGGCAGCGGGGACUUCGGUCCGCCGGCGAGUGGCGAACGGGUGAGUAAUGUAUCGGAACGUACCUUUCAGUGGGGGAUAACGUAGCGAAAGUUACGCUAAUACCGCAUAUUCUCUGAGGAGGAAAGCAGGGGACCUUCGGGCCUUGUGCUGAUGGAGCGGCCGAUAUCAGAUUAGCUAGUUGGUGAGGUAAAGGCUCACCAAGGCGACGAUCUGUAGCGGGUCUGAGAGGAUGAUCCGCCACACUGGGACUGAGACACGGCCCAGACUCCUACGGGAGGCAGCAGUGGGGAAUUUUGGACAAUGGGCGCAAGCCUGAUCCAGCCAUGCCGCGUGAGUGAAGAAGGCCUUCGGGUUGUAAAGCUCUUUCGGACGGGAAGAAAUUGGUGGGGCUAAUACCUGCGUCUACUGACGGUACCGGAAGAAUAAGCACCGGCUAACUACGUGCCAGCCGCCGCGGUAAGAC
rnacentral:rRNA from 1 species